ACCAGACCGCUUCCUGCCUUAUCUAGGAUGUAGAGAAACUGGAACUGGAAUUAUAUGCAUAUAUAUGGGAUAUACGACGUGUAUGUGACGGCCACUGCCCUAAACAUCAAAUUGACCGUGUGUUUCCACAUUCAAUGGGGCGCAGCAGAGGGAAGGAUUUUUCUCUCAGUAUCUGUGUGUCUCUCUACCUGCCAAGCUUCUUCCGCGCCUGUAUCCAUCAGUCCAUCUAUCUACGGUCCACCGAAGCAGCUAGGAACAAAGACCCAGGAGAAAUGAGAGUUCCUCCUUAGGAGAACAGGAGGAAAAGGCUAGAGAACUUGGUAACCCCCGUUCUCGCAUUCCCUUUAGGAGAAAAGAGGGUAUGUUCCAGUAUCCUGAGAGACCUUGCUGAAAAACACACACACUCAGAGGAGAGGCAAAAAAGAACAACUGAGCUGUAAUAAAGCUUAGCUUCAUCUUCAAACUAGAGAAAUGGCAUCAUCGUCAGUUUAAAAAGAACUCUUCACAGUCACACUGCCAGAAACCUCACCCAGGCCAGAGGUCUUCAUCAUGGCAGCCUUGAAGAUAACCAGGAAAAGCCUCUUAGAACUUUGGCUGCUUAGUCCCGAGUGUCAGCACUGACAGUGAUGUUAAUCAGUAGUUAUCUGUCCCCCUCUUUGCUUCACCUACACCUGCCACAACGCCCACAUAUACACCCACAUGUAUUCAUGCAUAGGAACUAUUUCUCAUCCAUCCUUAACACCUUCUGUAUUGAGGGAACAUGCUCAAAUGCACUCAUCAUGACAAAGUACCUGCUGUGGAAAUACUUUUUAAAAUUGUGAGACAUGAAGGCGUUUUUGGAGGAAGAAGGGUCAUUAUCUAAUUUUUAAGAUUUUUGAUACUUUGUAAGAAUCUUAGAGAGUUGAACAACUUACUAAUAGCUUUAGUGUUUCCAGCUGAUCUUUAAUGUAUAAAGUUAAGCAGAUGCAUCUUUAUGUUAAAUAAAGUAAUUGAAGCCUAUAAAUAC
ensembl:lncRNA